CAACAGGGAUUGCCCUAGUAACGGCGAGUGAAGCGGCAACAGCUCAAAUUUGAAAUCUGGCCUAGGCCCGAGUUGUAAUUUGCAGAGGAUGCUUCUGGCGAGGUACCUACCGAGUUCCCUGGAACGGGACGCCACAGAGGGUGAGAGCCCCGUAUGGUAGGACACCGAGCCUGUGUGAAGCUCCUUCAACGAGUCGAGUAGUUUGGGAAUGCUGCUCUAAAUGGGAGGUAAAUCUCUUCUAAAGCUAAAUACCGGCCAGAGACCGAUAGCGCACAAGUAGAGUGAUCGAAAGAUGAAAAGCACCUUGAAAAGGGGGUUAAAUAGUACGUGAAAUUGUUGAAAGGGAAGCACUUAUGACCAGACUUGGGCCGGGCGGCUCAUCAGGGGUUCUCCCCUGUGCACUCCGCCCGGCACAGGCCAGCAUCGGUUCUCGUGGGGGGAUAAGACCGUCAGGAACGUAGCACCCUCCGGGGUGUGUUAUAGCCUGGCGGACGAUACCCCCGUGGGGACCGAGGUCCGCGCUCCGCAAGGAUGCUGGCGUAAUGGUCAUCAGUGACCCGUCUUGAAACACGGACCAAGGAGUCGUCCAUUAGAGCGAGCGUUUGGGUGUAAAACCCGCACGCGUAAUGAAAGUGAACGCAGGUGAGAGCUUCGGCGCAUCAUCGACCGAUCCUGAUGUUCUCGGAAGGAUUUGAGUAAGAGUUUUAACGGACGGACCCGAAAGACAGUGAACUAUGCUUGUAUAGGGUGAAGCCAGAGGAAACUCUGGUGGAGGCUCGCAGCGGUUCUGACGUGCAAAUCGAUCGUCAAAUAUGAGCAUGGGGGCGAAAGACUAAUCGAAC
rnacentral:rRNA from 1 species